rnacentral:rRNA from 1 species
CCUACGGGGGGCAGCAGUGAGGAAUAUUGGUCAAUGGACGAGAGUCUGAACCAGCCAAGUAGCGUGAAGGAUGACUGCCCUAUGGGUUGUAAACUUCUUUUAUAUGGGAAUAAAACGUUCCACGUGUGGGAUUUUGUAUGUACCAUAUGAAUAAGGAUCGGCUAACUCCGUGCCAGCAGCCGCGGUAAUACGGAGGAUCCGAGCGUUGUCCGGAUUUAUUGGGUUUAAAGGGAGCGUAGGUGGAUUGUUAAGUCAGUUGUGAAAGUUUGCGGCUCAACCGUAAAAUUGCAGUUGAAACUGGCAGUCUUGAGUACAGUAGAGGUGGGCGGAAUUCGUGGUGUAGCGGUGAAAUGCUUAGAUAUCACGAAGAACUCCGAUUGCGAAGGCAGUUCACUGGACUGCAACUGACACUGAGGCUCGAAAGUGUGGGUAUCAAACAGGAUUAGAUACCCGAGUAGUC